AUGGUUAGUAAUUUCCAGGAUUUUGAUCAGAUGCUUGUUCUUAAUCUAUUUUUGACUUUUGUUCACUCCAAAAUGCAGCAUACACCUGCCAUUGACAUCUGGAGCAUUGGGUUCAUUUUUGCUGAGGUGCUGACUGGAAAGCCUUUGUUUCCUGGUAAAAAUGCUGUCCAUCAGUUAGACUUAGGGACUGAUCUUCUAGGCACACCUUCAAUGUAUACAAUUUCUCGGGUACGGUACUAA
rnacentral:rRNA from 1 species